rnacentral:lncRNA from 1 species
CUCAUCAUCACCAGAACCAGAACGGUUCCUGCGCUGCUCAUUAUCAUCAUCAUCAUCGUCAUUGCGACGACCAUAGCUAGGCUUCCUGUAACUCCCCUCUUCCUGUUCCUCAGACCUUCCAUAGCUAGGCUUCCUGUAACUCCCUUCCUCCUGAUCCUCAGAUCUUCCAUAGCUAGGCUUAAUGUAACUCUCCACCUGUUCCUCAGACCCUCCAUAACUUGGUUUCCUGUAACUACCUUCCUCCUGAUCCUCAGAUCUCCCAUAGCUAGGCUUCCUGUAACCUUCCUCUUGAUCCUCAGAUCUCCCAUAGCUAGGCUUCCUGUAACCUUCCUCUUGUUCCUCAGAUCUUCCAUAGCUAGGCUUCCUGUAGCCUUCCUCUUGAUCCUCAGAUCUUCCAUAGCUAGGCUUCCUGUAACUUCCUUCUUCCUGAUCCUCAGAUCUUCCAUAGCUAGGUUUCUUGUAACCUUCCUCUUGUUCCUCAGACCUUCCAUAGCUAGGCUUCCUGUAACCUUCUUCUUGUUCCUCAGACCUACCAUAGCUAGGCUUACGCUCAUACUCAGACUCUGAUCUGCCACCAUAUCCAGAUCCAAGACCCGAUUCAGGUCUCCUCCCAUACUCAACCUCAGUUCUUCCACCACCAGAUCCAUACUCCGAUUGAUUCUCCGUUCUACCACCAUAACUCUGCUCAGGUCUCCGACCAUACUCCGUCUCAGUUUCACCACCAUAUCCAGAUUCAGGCCUCCUACCAUACUCACUCUCCGUCUGACCACCAUAACCAGAUCCAGAUCCAUAACCAGGAUUCGGCCUCUCACCUUGAACAUGACCGCCACCACCUGAAUCGGGUCGAAAUGCGG